GUAGGCCAGACUGGUCUCAAACUCCUGACCUCAAGGGAUCCUCCCGCCUCACCCUCCUAAAGUGCUGAUAUUACAGGUGUGAGCCACUGCGCCAGGCCAGAAGUAUACUUUAUAAGGCUCUUAUACUAUACAUGAAAACGUAUCUCAUUUUAAGAAAAACUGUGAUAGGUAAAAGAUAUAUACUAUAAAACCUAAAGCAACUUUUAAAAUAAAAAAAUAGCAAAUAAGCAAAUAAAAUACCUUGGAAUCAUAACAAAUAUUUAUUUAAUGCAAAAAAAAGGGCAAGGGAAAAAAGUGAAAAUAAGAGACAGAUGAGGAAAAAAGAAAUGCAAAUAGCAAGAUAACAGAUUUAAACUUAACCGUAUCACUAAUCACCUUCAAUAUAAAUAGUUUCAACUAGGGGUCAGUGAACUGUAGCUCGAAACCAAAUCAUGGCUGUUUCCUGGUUUGUUUGCUUGUUUGCUUGUUUUUUGAGACAGAGUCUCACUCUGUUGCCCAGGUUGGAAUGCAGUAGCAUGAAUAUGGCUCACUGUAGCCUCGAUCUCCCAGGCCCAAGUGAUCCUCCCACUUCAGCUUCCCAGGUACAAUUUUUUUUUGUAUUUUUUUGUAGAGUCUGAUCUCAAACUCCUGGGUUCAAGUGAUUCUCCUGCUUUGGCCUCACCAAAUUACUGGGAUUACAGUCAUGAGCCACCAUACCCCGCCAUCUGUUGCCUGUUUUUGCGGUGCUCAUGAACUAAAAGCAGUUUUUACAUUUUUUAAUGGUAAAUUUUUUUCUAUAACUGACUAUAUAAUUGCUUCAAUUUUGCCUCUUGUCCCACAAAGCCUAAAAUAUUUACUCAAUAUUUUGAGUAAGAUAUUUACUCAAUAUUUUGAGUAAGAUAUUUACUCAAUAUUUUGAGUAAGAUAUUUACUCAAUAUUUUGAGUAAGAUAUUUACUCAAUAUUUUGAGUAAGAUAUUUACUCAAUAUUUUGAGUAAGAUAUUUACUCAAAGGGUGAGCCUUUGAGUUUGCCCACCUGUGUGGUAUAAAUAUCCCAAUUAUAAGGCAGAAAGUAUAGCAUUGGAUGGACAUUUGGGUAGUUUCCACUUUAUGGCCAUUAUAAAUAAUGAAGCUGUUAACACUCAUGUUCAAGUUUUUUUGUGAACAUAUAAUAUGUUCUCAAUUCUUUCGGAUAUAUGCAUAAGGAACAGAACUCCUGAAUCAUGUGGCACCUCUAUGUUUAACCUUUUGAGGAAUGGCCAGACUAUUUUCUUUUCUUUUCUUUUCUUUUUUUCUAAGAUAGGGUCUUGAUCUGUCACCUAGGCAGGAGUGCAGUGGUGUGAUUUCGAUUCACAGCAAUCCCCACCUCUCUUGCUCAAGCAAUCCUCCCACCUCAGCCUCCCGAGUACCUGGAACUACUGGAACUACAGGUGCAUGCCACCAUGCCUGGCCAAUUUUUUUUUUUUUUUUGGUAGGGAUAGGGUUUCACCAUGUUGCCCAAGCUGGUCUUGAACUCCUGGCCUCAAGCGAUCCACCUGCCUCGGCCUUGCAAAGUGCUAGGGUUACAGGCGUGAACCACCACGCCUGGACAGACUAUUUUCUAAAGUGGCUGCUCCGUUUUACUUACCUACCACUUGUGCAUGAAGUUUCCAAUUUCUCCACACUCUCACCAACACUUAUUAUCUAUUUUUAUUAUAGCCAUCCUAGGAAGUGUGAACUGGUAUCUCAAUAUGGGUUUGAUUUGCAUUUUUCUGAUGGCCAAAGGAGUUGAGAUUUUCAUUUUUUUAUCGGCCAUUUGUAUAUUUUCUUUGGAGAAAUGUAUACUCAGAUCCUUUGCCCAUUUAAAAAUUGGAUUAUUGGGCCGGGUGCAGUGGCUCACCCACUUGUUUGUUUUUUUU
rnacentral:lncRNA from 1 species